AAGUAGAACGCUGAAGAGAGGAGCUUGCUCUUCUUGGAUGAGUUGCGAACGGGUGAGUAACGCGUAGGUAACCUGCCUGGUAGCGGGGGAUAACUAUUGGAAACGAUAGCUAAUACCGCAUAAAAUUGAUUAUUGCAUGAUAAUUAAUUGAAAGAUGCAAUUGCAUCACUACCAGAUGGACCUGCGUUGUAUUAGCUAGUUGGUGAGGUAACGGCUCACCAAGGCGACGAUACAUAGCCGACCUGAGAGGGUGAUCGGCCACACUGGGACUGAGACACGGCCCAGACUCCUACGGGAGGCAGCAGUAGGGAAUCUUCGGCAAUGGGGGGAACCCUGACCGAGCAACGCCGCGUGAGUGAAGAAGGUUUUCGGAUCGUAAAGCUCUGUUGUAAGAGAAGAACGGGUGUGAGAGUGGAAAGUUCACACUGUGACGGUAUCUUACCAGAAAGGGACGGCUAACUACGUGCCAGCAGCCGCGGUAAUACGUAGGUCCCGAGCGUUGUCCGGAUUUAUUGGGCGUAAAGCGAGCGCAGGCGGUUAGAUAAGUCUGAAGUUAAAGGCUGUGGCUUAACCAUAGUAUGCUUUGGAAACUGUUUAACUUGAGUGCAGAAGGGGAGAGUGGAAUUCCAUGUGUAGCGGUGAAAUGCGUAGAUAUAUGGAGGAACACCGGUGGCGAAAGCGGCUCUCUGGU
rnacentral:rRNA from 1 species